UCUUGUGUUCUUACCUGGGGGAUUUUGAAACCUCGCCCGAGCUCUUUCUGCCUCUUUAAUGCCUAAAAGCCUUUUAAAUCUGGCCCUUCACCUCUCUUGGCGCUAGAUACAAGUAGCCUGGCCCUGCCUCCCAGAAGUCUUGCGAGGGUAAAUACAUUACAGAUUGUGAGGCGCUCCGAUACUGGGGACAGAUAAAUACCCGAGGUAGACAGAUACACGGUGUACAGAUGCCAGACUCCGGGAUAUUUGUUUGGAAACCUGUGGGAAGGGUGAAGUCCCCGUUCCUCACCUCAUCCAGGCCACUUCCUAAAGUAAAAUCUGAGCCUUGACCCUAUCUGUGUUGGCUACAGAUCCCAGAGGUUGCCUCUGCCUUAUAUGGUCACGUGGAAAUGACCCAGGAUGCUGGAGCCAUUGUCAUGUCACAGCUGCCCCUUUAAAUACAGGCCAGCUGAAGCGCCUCUUCUGAGCUCAGGGUCAGCACCAGAAAAGAAGUGGCCUGGCAGAGCCUACAAGGGAUGCUCCUUUCCCUGCAGUUUUGAUACCACCCCAGGCCCAAGGCAAUGGCGAGAUGCCCCUGCGUGCCUGCGACCAGGAGGAACAGAAGAAGGGGGCAUGGGGGGAGGAGAAGGCGAGCCAAGCGUGGGAGGAGGAGGCGGCAGAGGAGAGCGUUCACCACCCGCACGGUGUACUACUACCGGAAAAAGAGAUAACCCGCAACUCCUCCUCUUCUCCGGCCCUGGAACGUGGCAGCGGUGCCUGCGGCGUCCCCACCAAGGCAAUGGACUGACUUUCCAGGAUCCAGGAGCCCUCCUAGCAAAGGAGCAAGGCCCGAGCCCUCAUUAAACCUGCAGCUGCA